rnacentral:rRNA from 1 species
GAGGAAUAUUGGUCAAUGGGGGCAACCCUGAACCAGCCAAGUCGCGUGAAGGAUGAAGGUCUUAUGGCUUGUAAACUUCUUUUAUACAGGAAUAAAUUGGGGGACGUGUCCCCUUUUGCAUGUACUGUAUGAAUAAGGAUCGGCUAACUCCGUGCCAGCAGCCGCGGUAAUACGGAGGAUCCGAGCGUUAUCCGGAUUUAUUGGGUUUACAGGGUGCGCAGGCGGGAUGUUAAGUCGGCGGUGAAAUUUUGCAGCUCAACUGUAAAAGUGCCUUCGAUACUGGCUUCCUUGAGUGUGGAUGAAGUAGGCGGAAUUUGUGGUGUAGCGGUGAAAUGCUUAGAUAUCACGAGGAACUCCGAUUGCGCAGGCAGCUUACUAAGCCACAACUGACGCUCAUGCACGAAGGCGUGGGGAUCAAACA